AUGAGGAGCAACAUCAGAAAAUACACACAAGAGAAAGAACAGAGGUGGGGGCCAGGAACGGGCGCGCCUCCACACCAGACGCUGUGGCCACUCAGUGUCCACGACCCCACGCGCAGGGAGUACUCCGUGUUCCGGCCCCGCACCAUAGAGCAGGCGGUGGAGGAAAUCCGUGCGGUGCUCCAGCCGGUGGAGGACGGAGAGAUUCAGGGAGUGUGGCUGCUGACCGAAGUGGACCACUGGAACAACGAGAAGGAAAGGCCAGUGCUGAUCAUCGACCAGUCACUGCUCAUCUGUAAACACGACCUCAUCGUCCUUUAGUGUCAGCAGGUGGUCAGGGUGGCGCUCGGGGGCGGUGGACACCAUCUCCUACGGGGAAUCCCAGUUUCCUUUCAAGUCACUCAACCAGCCAGAAGGCUUUGGGGUUCACAUUCAGUGGGAUAAGCAGAGCCCCCUUUCUUUCAUCAGCAGGUGGAACCCCUGGUUCCCAGCGUGACCUACGCCACUUUCAUAGGGCACGCGAUGGCAGGGGUGGACAUGAGGGCGGCGUUUCUGUGCUAACUGGAAAGCUUCAAGGCUUUGUUAAUCCAAGCUGUCAAAAGAAAAAAGGCCCAGAAAGUCUUUUGCCAGGACAAGGUAACAGCGUGCAGGUCCUGGAGCGCCCACUCUUCAUUGAGACCUCCUUGGGGCUGAUGUUCUUCAUCAACAACGAGGCCAAACUGGGUUACUCCAGGACCAGGGGGAAAAAUAGGCUUCUGAGCGUCAGCAUGGUGGGCGCACCCCAGGCUGGUGGGGUGCAGGGGUGGGGCUGCAGGGGUGUAGGGAUCUGA